GUGGAUCAGGUGUUUAUGCAUUCAUCCAGUCAUUAGUUGUGGGUUGUCCCUGGAAGAGAAGAUAACCUUGGAUGAAGCUGAUGUGAUUUCCGAAAGGAGAAGCCUGAAGGAAGGUUGUGCAGUAGCAGCUCUCUCAGCAGGAUCUUAGUUCCCAACCAGGGACUGAACCUGGGGCCCCAGCAGUGAACAUGCUGAGUCUUAACCACUGGACUACCAGGGAAUUCCUAGGUGAAAAAGUCAUACAAGUUCUAUGUGGCUGAACUCGGAGUGGAAAGCAAGAUGUGUGAGUCCAAGUUUCAACUUUCCCUAGUUCCAGUUCCUUCAUUUCCUGAGUUUCUCAGCAUCCUGGUCACUCUCUGGAUUAGUACUUCC
ensembl:lncRNA